CCUGAGAAACCCAAAAGAUCGAAUGGGGAGAUUCAUCGUCAGCUUAUUUUGUAUAUAUAUAAGUUAUGAUAUGGGUUACUACUUGUAGUAUUGCCUGUACAUUCUUGUAUAUUUAAUUGCAAGAUUUUGUCGGCGUGCACUUCUCCCCUAGUAGGACGUCGCGACCCGUUGAGUGUCGGUCUACGGCCCAAGUGGUAGCCUUUAAUUUUUAAUUAAAGACCCUUGGUGUUUCCUGGCUGGCUACUCGGCGGUAUUCGUACGGUAUUAAGCCGCAUUUAUGCGUUCAUAUCUGUCGCAAGCGCGGUCAAUUUUUGGUAGUACGGACCUAGUGCCGUCGCUAUAAUUGAUCAGCUGUUGGUUGUACAGUAUUCUAGAACUGGCUUAAAUAAAUUAUAUAUACCGGUCAGCGAUGCUACUGCUUUGGUACU
rnacentral:rRNA from 1 species